rnacentral:lncRNA from 1 species
AGCAAGUUCCGCAAUCGUGAUUCAUGAACUACAUCAAUAUAACUGCAAAAAGGAGCAGGUCGAUUUUAGUUAGCUCAAUCACAUCUCAAAAGGCAUAACUGAGUUGCAAGCAAAAUGGCCUACAAUUACUAACUGCAUCACUGGUUUGUAACAGAAUGGUAGAGUAAAAACUCUUAACCAAAUUUCGUUAAUGGACAUCUUGGCACAACCAACAUAUAGCUUGCUAACUCUAACUGAUUCAGAAAUUAACAGGAAAUAAAUAAAUAACCUCUAACCAAUUUCAUCCUUCCAACAAACUCAUAAUCGUUGAUGGCGACUUCAUAAACUGAACUCCAUUAACUCUUUCUUUUCCCAACUGACUUCAACAGGGAAGCCUAACAGCAAUAACAGUUGUUAACAGAUGCAACUGAAUUCAUAACAGAAUUGGGAAAAAGCUAUAUAAAGGGAACUUACUGUGAUUGAAGAGGAGAGAAUCAUUUUUCACCAUAACAAAACUUCAACUCUCCCUCUGAUAAGGAGUCCCUAAAACCUGCAGAACCAGGGGAAAUCUCUCAGAAACGAUCUUCCAAAAACCUUCUUCAUCCUCCAUUUUCCUACCAUCCACAUUCAACCGUCAUCUCCAACAAAAACCU